rnacentral:rRNA from 1 species
CUACGGGCGGCUCCAGUGGGGAAUAUUGGACAAUGGGGGAAACCCUGAUCCAGCAAUGCCGCGUGUGUGAAGAAGGCCUGCGGGUUGUAAAGCACUUUCGGUUGGGAGGACUGCUUCUAGCACUAAUAUUGUUGGAAGUUGACGUUACCUUCAGAAGAAGUACCGGCUAACUCCGUGCCAGCAGCCGCGGUAAUACGGAGGGUGCAAGCGUUAAUCGGAAUUACUGGGCGUAAAGCGCGCGUAGGCGGCUAGAUCAGUCGGGUGUGAAAGCCCCGGGCUUAACCUGGGAACUGCAUCCGAUACUGUCUAGCUUGAGUAUAGGAGAGGAGAGUGGAAUUCCACAUGUAGCGGUGAAAUGCGUAGAUAUGUGGAGGAACACCAAUGGCGAAGGCAGCUCUCUGGCCUGAUACUGACGCUGAGGUGCGAAAGCGUGGGGAUCAAACAGGAUUAGAUACCCGUGUAGUC